GGAGGAAGCUUCGGUAGAAUUCCGUGAUGGAAAGCGGCGGACGGGUGAGUAACGCGUGGGAAACCUGCCCUUGACAGGGGGACAGCCGAGGGAAACUUCGAUUAAUACCCCAUAACGCAGAGAGACCGCAUGGUCAUUCUGCCAAAGAAUUAUCGGUCAGGGAUGGUCCCGCGUCUGAUUAGCUGGUUGGUGAGGCAGCGGCUCACCAAGGCGACGAUCAGUAGCCGGCCUGAGAGGGUGAACGGCCACAUUGGAACUGAGACACGGUCCAGACUCCUACGGGAGGCAGCAGUGGGGAAUAUUGCACAAUGGGCGCAAGCCUGAUGCAGCAACGCCGCGUGAAGGAGGAAGGCCUUCGGGUCGUAAACUUCUGUCCAAAGGGAAGAAGAAUGACGGUACCUUUGGAGGAAGCCCCGGCUAACUACGUGCCAGCAGCCGCGGUAACACGUAGGGGGCGAGCGUUAUCCGGAAUUACUGGGCGUGAAGAGUGCGUAGGUGGCUUUGCAAGCGUAGGGUAUAAGGCGACAGCCCAACUGUCGUUGGCCCCGCGAACUGUAAGGCUUGAGUACAGGAGGGGAAGGCGGAAUUCCUAGUGUAGCGGUGAAAUGCGUAGAUAUUAGGAGGAACACCAGUGGCGAAGGCGGCCUUCUGGACUGUAACUGACACUGAGGCACGAAAAGCGUGGGUAGCAAAACAGGAUUAGAUACCCUGGUAGUCCACGCCG
rnacentral:rRNA from 1 species